rnacentral:sRNA from 1 species
GCUGGACAUGGUGGCACAUGCCUGUAAUCCCAGCAACUCAGGAGGCUGAGGUAGGAGGAUUGUAAAUUAGAGGCCAGCCUCAGCAAUUUAGCAAGACUCUGUCUCAA